rnacentral:rRNA from 1 species
AACGAACGCUGGCGGCAUGCCUAACACAUGCAAGUCGAACGAGACCUUCGGGUCUAGUGGCGCACGGGUGCGUAACGCGUGGGAACCUGCCCUUAGGUUCGGAAUAACUCCCCGAAAGGGGUGCUAAUACCGGAUAAUGUCUUCGGACCAAAGAUUUAUCGCCUUUGGAUGGGCCCGCGUUGGAUUAGCUAGUUGGUAGGGUAAAAGCCUACCAAGGCGACGAUCCAUAGCUGGUCUGAGAGGAUGAUCAGCCACACUGGGACUGAGACACGGCCCAGACUCCUACGGGAGGCAGCAGUGGGGAAUAUAGGACAGUGGGCGAAAGCCUGAUCCAGCAAUGCCGCGUGAGUGAUGAAGGCCUUAGGGUUGUAAAGCUCUUUUACCCGGGAUGAUAAUGACAGUACCGGGAGAAUAAGCUCCGGCUAACUCCGUG